rnacentral:lncRNA from 1 species
GGAGGGUUUCACAGAGUGCAGGCCUCUGACCUGGAAAGGGGUGUCCCAUGCAUACCCUGGCAUGCCCCGGUGGCCCCAGGAUACAUGAACCUGCUUGAGACACAGGCUUAGGAGUGGGGACUCAUGGAAGGUUGUAGAGAGGGAGUGACUGUUUUAGAAACAUCAUGUCAGGCUGGACUAUGAGGAGGCAGAUGGAGAUGUGAGGCCCAGGCUAAGCAGCAGGUCAUCACUUCAGGCAUCGCAGCCAUCGUGUUGUCACGCUACCUCCCUAGCACCCCCCUGCGCUGGACAGUGUUUAGCUCGAGCGUGGCCUGUGCUCUCCUUUCUCUGACCUGUGCCCUCGGCCUCUUGGCCUCCAUCGCCAUGACCUUUGCCACCCAGGGCAAGGCACUGCUGGCUGCCUGCACUUUUGGGAGCUCUGAACUACUGGCCCUCGCACCUGACUGUCCCUUCGACCCCACACGCAUUUAUAGCUCCAGCCUGUGCCUCUGGGGCAUCGCCCUAGUGCUCUGCGUGGCGGAGAACGUGUUUGCUGUACGCUGUGCUCAGCUCACCCACCAGCUGCUGGAGCUGAGGCCCUGGUGGGGGAAAAGCAGCCACCACAUG